UCUACCAUAGUAUAACUACACUACACGGCUGUUUAUAUUUGGCCAGACGGUUUAACAUUGAGCCGAGUGGCGUCGCCGAUCGCAGUUUCCUUAGUGGUGUCGUCCUGCGAACAAGUCUACGGUUUUUCAAUCAUUAUCAUUACAGUUUGUAUUCGUUAGUCCAGCACCAUCAAGAUGUUUAACUUGGGAGGAGCUAUGAAAAAUAUCACUGACAAAGCCGAACAUCUUUUGGAUGAAAAGAAAACCGCCGCUGCCGGUCUACUUGAAAAACAAGUCAAGGAAAGUGCCGAGUUUUUAGCACAUUCCAUUAGUGACGCGGAAGUUAAAGCUGAUGAGUCGAAGAAAGCGGCCAUCGAUGGCUUCGAAAAAGAAGUUGAAAAAAUCGCCGACAAUACAAUGCAAGAGGAAUCUACACCUGCUGUGGCUGAACCCGGUCCACCUCCUACAGCGGCCAACAUCAGUAUGCAUAAAGCGGCCUUGGAUCAGGCGGUGUCCGAAGCCAAAUCUCUGGUGGACAAGACAUCAGCCCAGCUGAAACCGGCAUUGGGUCAAAUCGUACAGGAUAAGGUCAAUCCGUUGGCGCAGGACAUCGCGAAAAAACUGCAGCCGGUCGCCGGCGACGUUUCCGGUCAUGUCAACACGGCGUUGGCCGAAGGCGUCAAGCAGCUGAACCCCGUAGUGGAUGACGUGGCCGCCAAAGUCAAGACUUUUACAGACGACGCCACCAAAAAGGUUAGCGAUGCAGUGGACGUGAAGCUUAAGGAAGCUGAUGAGCUGUUGGCCGAGAAGCGAGAAGCUCUCGGCGAGCCAGCUAAAAACAUGUUUACAAAGGCCAAAGGAUUGUUCGGCUGUAAGUCGGGUUGCUGUACUAUCAUGUAGUAUAAGUUGCACAAUUUUGCACAAAUCUCAAAUGUACAGUUGUACACCACUCUCUGUUGACGUAUAUACGUAUAUAUUGUAUAUUAUAUACAUAUAUAUAUACAUUAUGUAUGCACCUGCUGCCAGUAAGGGAUCUAAGUUUGACUGAAUAAGAAGUCAAACAUUUGCACCCAUGGCAAUAGCCAGAAUAGCGAUUUAGCUCUUCGAUUUACAACUUUACACUAUACAGCUAAUAUGCAUUCGUUUUUAAUCCUAUAAAGAUUUAAGUACCUAUAUUAUACGACCUGAGUGUCACGCUUUAAUUUUAAUUUUUUUUAAACGUUCCUUAAAAGGUAUUAUUCAUUUUGGUAUUAUUUUUAUUAUUAUGAAAUUAUUUUUAUUUUAAACAUUUUCAUCUUUCAUCGUUAAUCUUCGUUUUCAUUACACUAUUUCAUAAAAUAAAAUAAACAAUUGUUGAUUUCUUAUCCAAAAAUGUUAUAAUUUUUAUAAAUUAAAUUUAUUAAGAGCAAACCUCUUACAUUACUAUUAUUGUUUUUAAAAUGGUUUUUUUUUUAUUUAUAUAAUGAAAUAACACAGCUUGGCUAUUUUUGUACACGUCAUUCGACAUAAUUAAAAAGAAAAGAAAAAAAUGUGUACCAGAAAUAUAAUAUAAUAAAUAAAUAUUAAAUAUAUCAUCUCAAUAUUAUAUUCACAAACAAUAAAUGCAUUUUUUUAAUAACCAAUACACUAAAUACAAAAUUAAUGAGUUUUAUUUUCAGUUUCAAACUCUGUUUACCAUUUUUCAAUGAUGCUAGAAAAUGGGUUAGAAAUUUAUUUUUAGUGUUGAUAUUUCUAUGACAAGUGAACGCAUGUGAACUAUACAAAUAAUAAUGGGUCUUUGUCAGCUUUUGAAAUAGUAAUUUGUAAAUUUGGAAAAUGAGUGUGAAACUUCUUGGCAAAGACUUUUAAAUAUCCUCUUUCACUGUUGCUGUGAUUGGACAAUAUGACUGCUACGUUAUUGUGUAUUGCAUCCAACACAUCGUGGUGUGACAUUUCUCCUGUUAUGUACAAAUCGGCUUUAACUCCGUGCAAUAAAGAAGCCCCCGAACCAGCGACCGCUGCCGCUGAAUUGAUGGUCGAUUCUAUUUUGUACGUAAUUAAUCAACAUGUCAAAAAAUACAAUUUUUAUACAUAUAUAUGUAAAAUAACUAGAAUCUAUAAUAAAUACCUAAUGUCAUUCCUUUUGGCAAUGCUAGCAUUAAAUUGUUAACGCCCAAGUGUUGCUUUAGCAUAUCCACGGCUUUGCCGAUCGUAAGUGGACUUUUAAAUUGACAGUAUCGUCCAUUGCCUUUUGUAGACGAAGGAAACUGAAAAAUAAAUGUAUAUACAAAACACAAAUAUUAGUGUUGAGAAAUAUUCUAUUAUUAGAAUAACCUGUAAUAAAAUAUUCGAGACUCGAAUCUAAAUUAAACUUUAAAAAAAUAUUGCGAUUUGAUCAAAUUUACCGGUUCAUUCUUAUUGACGUGUAGGGCUACACGUUCAGUUGACUGAAUUAUCAUUAGUUCACUAAGGAAUUUUGUGUUGCACAAUAUUUGAAUUUGAUCUGCGGAGUCGUUGGAAAUU